UACGGGGGGGGCAAGCGUUGUUCGGAAUUACUGGGCGUAAAGGGCUCGUAGGCGGCCAACUAAGUCGGACGUGAAAUCCCUCAGCUUAACUGGGGAACUGCGUCCGAUACUGGAUGGCUUGGAUUUGGGAGAGGGAUGCGGAAUUCCAGGUGUAGCGGUGAAAUGCGUAGAUAUCGAGAGGAACACCUGCGGCGAAGGCGGGUUGCUGGGCUGACACUGACGCUGAAACGCGAAAGCUAGGGGAGCGAACGGG
rnacentral:rRNA from 1 species